rnacentral:misc_RNA from 1 species
GAUGAAGAACGCAGCGAAAUGCGAUACGUAAUGUGAAUUGCAGAAUUCAGUGAAUCAUCGAGUCUUUGAACGCACAUUGCGCCCCCUGGUAUUCCGGGGGGCAUGCCUGUCCGAGCGUCAUUGCUGCCCUCAAGCACGGCUUGUGUGUUGGGCCUCCGUCCUCCUCCCGGGGGACGGGCCCGAAAGGCAGCGGCGGCACCGCGUCCGGUCCUCGAGCGUAUGGGGCUUCGUCACCCGCUCUUGUAGGCCCGGCCGGCGCUUGCCGACACAUCAAUCUUUUUUCCAGGUUGACCUCGGCUCAGGUAGGGAUACCCGCUGAACUUAAGCAUAUCAAUAAGCGGAGGA